rnacentral:rRNA from 1 species
GCGAAGAACCUUACCUGGGUUUGACAUGCAGCUGCACGGCCCGUGAAAGCGGGCCUCCUCCGAGGGUGCUGCACAGGUGCUGCAUGGUUGUCGUCAGCUCGUGUCGUGAGGUGUUGGGUUAAGUCCCGCAACGAGCGCAACCCUUGUCCUUUGUUGCCAGCGGGUAAAGCCGGGAACUCAAAGGAGACUGCCAGUGACAAACUGGAGGAAGGCAGGGAUGACGUCAAGUCAUCAUGCCCCUUAUGUCCUGGGCUACACACGUACUACAAUGGCCGUUAACAGAGGGAAGCAAAGCCGCGAGGUGGAGCAAACCCCUAAAAACGGUCCCAGUUCAGAUUGUAGGCUGCAACUCGCCUAUAUGAAGUUGGAAUUGCUAGUAAUCGCGGAUCAGCAUGCCGCGGUGAAUACGUUCCCGGGUCUUGUACACACCGA